rnacentral:pre_miRNA from 1 species
AGUGGAAUUACUGCAUCAUAUGGUAUGUCUAUUUAGCGAACUACCAGACUGUCUUCCAAAGCAUCUAUACCAUCUUACAUUGCCAUCAGCAGU